rnacentral:RNase_P_RNA from 1 species
GUGGGCGGCCGGGCGGGCCACCGGGAGCUCCGGAGGAAGUUCCUCCCUCGCGGGAGGGGGCGCGGCGCCGCGAGGCGCAGGGGGAGACCCCUGGCAACGCCCCAGAAACGAGACCCCCACGCGGCCAUGGCCAUGAGACGGCGCAUAAGCCGUUGAGGAGCCGCGGCGGUUUGGUUGAAACGGGCGACCCGCGCCGGGAAAGGUCGCAGGGCCUAUGAGCACCCUCCCCAAGGCCCAGCAAGCCCGACGAGACGAAUCCCGCCACAAACAGAAGAAGGGCUACGAGCCGCCCAC